rnacentral:rRNA from 1 species
UACGGAGGGUGCGAGCGUUGUCCGGAAUCACUGGGCGUAAAGGGCGCGUAGGCGGCGCGGGAAGUCCGUGGUGAAAGCCCGAGGCUCAACUUCGGGUCGGCCAUGGAUACUCCUGGGCUCGAGCACUGUAGAGGCAGGUGGAAUUCCGGGUGUAGCGGUGGAAUGCGUAGAGAUCCGGAAGAACACCGGUGGCGAAGGCGGCCUGCUGGGCAG